rnacentral:rRNA from 1 species
UACGUAGGGACCAAGCGUUGUUCGGAUUUACUGGGCGUAAAGGGCGCGUAGGCGGCGCGGUAAGUCACUUGUGAAAUCUCUGAGCUUAACUCAGAACGGCCAAGUGAUACUGCAGUGCUAGAGUGUGGAAGGGGCAAUCGGAAUUCUUGGUGUAGCGGUGAAAUGCGUAGAUAUCAUGAGGAAUACCAGAGGCGAAGGCGGCUACCUGGACAAUUGCUGACGCUCAGGCACGAAAGCGUGGGGAGCAAAAGGG